rnacentral:rRNA from 1 species
GACGAACGCUGGCGGCGUGCUUAACACAUGCAAGUCGAACGGAAAGGCCCUGCUUUUGUGGGGUGCUCGAGUGGCGAACGGGUGAGUAACACGUGAGUAACCUGCCCUUGACUUUGGGAUAACUUCAGGAAACUGGGGCUAAUACCGGAUAGGAGCUCCUGCUGCAUGGUGGGGGUUGGAAAGUUUCGGCGGUUGGGGAUGGACUCGCGGCUUAUCAGCUUGUUGGUGGGGUAGUGGCUUACCAAGGCUUAGACGGGUAGCCGGCCUGAGAGGGUGACCGGCCACAUUGGGACUGAGAUACGGCCCAGACUCCUACGGGAGGCAGCAGUGGGGAAUAUUGCACAAUGGGCGGAAGCCUGAUGCAGCAACGCCGCGUGCGGGAUGACGGCCUUCGGGUUGUAAACCGCUUUCGCCUGUGACGAAGCAUGAGUGACGGUAAUGGGUAAAGAAGCACCGGCUAACUACGCG